UACGGGAGGCAGCAGUGGGGAAUAUUGGACAAUGGGCGAAAGCCUGAUCCAGCCAUGCCGCGUGUGUGAAGAAGGUCUUCGGAUUGUAAAGCACUUUAAGUUGGGAGGAAGGGCAGUAAGCGAAUACCUUGCUGUUUUGACGUUACCGACAGAAUAAGCACCGGCUAACUCUGUGCCAGCAGCCGCGGUAAUACAGAGGGUGCAAGCGUUAAUCGGAAUUACUGGGCGUAAAGCGCGCGUAGGUGGUUUGUUAAGUUGAAUGUGAAAUCCCCGGGCUCAACCUGGGAACUGCAUCCAAAACUGGCAAGCUAGAGUAGGGCAGAGGGUGGUGGAAUUUCCUGUGUAGCGGUGAAAUGCGUAGAUAUAGGAAGGAAC
rnacentral:rRNA from 1 species